rnacentral:rRNA from 1 species
AUUGAACGCUGGCGGCAGGCCUAACACAUGCAAGUCGAACGAGUGGCGGACGGGUGAGUAAUGUCUGGGAAACUGCCCGAUGGCGGGGGAUAACUACUGGAAACGGUAGCUCAUACCGCAUACCAUCGGAUGUGCCCAGAUGGGAUUAGCUAGUAGGUGGGGUAACGGCUCACCUAGGCGCCGAUCCCUAGCUGGUCUGAGAGGACGACCAGCCACACUGGGACUGAGACACGGUCCAGACUCCUACGGGAGGCAGCAGUGGGGAAGAUUGCACAAUGGGCGCAAGCCUGAUGCAGCCAUGCCGCGUGUAUGAAGAAGGCCUUCGGGUUGUAAAGUACUUUCAGCGAGGAGGCGUUACUCGCAGAAUAAGCACCGGCUAACUCCGUGCCAGCAGCCGCGGUAAUUC